GGGGACUUGCUUGCUCGAGACCCCUGCUCCUUCCCCUCUCCUCCCAUGUUCGCCAUAAGAUGUCCUGCGUCCAUGCUAUGGCAUCCUUCUGUGCACCAUAGUCUUUUGCUGCUCCGCGCUCUUGAGCAGCCGCACACGCUUCUCCUCGAUCCACACACCACCUCGCGAGGUCGUCUUUUCGUUCCUCUUCUCUCAGAAUGUGCAAGAGAGGUGCGCAUUCAGACUCCGCCCGUCCAUCACGAGUUCGACUCUGCUGCUGGUGCUUCCACGGAACGUAGCGUGCUGCUGUACAGAGCCGAGGAUUUGCUUCACGUGGUGAACCGACCGCUUGGUGCUGGGCGCGACCUUGGCGCAGCCUGCCCAACGCAGUCUGGGGUGUUUGCAUCGCUGCUCGAGUAUCUGGAGGCGUCGACGGUGAGCAGCCACGUGAUAUCGGCCAUCGAUGCUCUUCUGGUAUCUCUGAACACGGGCGACAUGGAGACGAUGCGCCAGACUCACGCGUGCCUGGUGGAGCUGAUUGAGAGACUGGAAGCCUCUAUCACUGAUGAGAGCCUGAGCGAAGCAUAUCAGACGGACCAGAAGGAGCCACUAAGUGCAUGGCCGCUCUUCUGCACGCUUCAGUUUCUCAUUGAGGAAGGCGGUAUGCUGACAUCGGCCUUUCCCCGCACAAACAAAGCGUACACGCGACUCUGCCACUCCAGUAAGGCUGUAGCGCAGCACCGACGGCUCGUGCAGCGUACCGUGGAGCAGCUGCUCGACGUCGGCAGCAGCACUGAUACCGACGUCAGUCAGGGAGCGCGGGUGGAGAUGAACUAUCCGGCCAAGGGCUUCUUGCGUGACGUCCAACGACAUCUGGCUUCGUACAAUCGGAGCAUGGAGGAGCGUACCACGGAUGGGGUGUCGGGUGAGAAAGGGCCGCUGAACAGCCGUGCAAGCGGGGGGAGGCUCGGUAUCCAGGCGGUCCAGGCUCGCCUACCUUGGACGCUCCAAGCGCGGCCACUACGCAAGGGAUAGCUGUCGACUUGUGCUGCACCACGACAUGCAGCGACCCUGCUCCUGGCGGUUGAUGAGGCUGUAUGCAGUGAGGGUCAUGCCGCAAUGUGGGUGGUGCUGCGUCACAGCACCGUUUGGUACCCGUGGUCAUGCCGGGGAUGAAGCAUGCGUAUAAUCUGCAUCCGGUGCACCUUCGCCAUUCUCUUACACACGUGUAAUCCAUAAAGCACACACGAUGGAGGCAUGGAAAACGACUCCUCAGCUGCGCAUGUUGUGCAACUGCGUAGUGCGUCGCUCUCGUAGACGUUUCCUCGACCGCAUGUGGCUCUUUCCCUUCACCCCUUGAGGGAGGUCGCAUCUUUUUUUUCCCUUCCGCUCCGCUUGUCGGUCGCAGAAAGCUCGUCGCACGUGCAUGCUCCCACUGGCCACACUCCCAAGAACCUUCUCGAUUCUUUGACGCUCUCUUUUCUGCAUCGGCCGUCUACGCAUCCUUCUCUCCACACGACGCACACGCCCAG
rnacentral:misc_RNA from 1 species